GGGGUAAACCUGCGAAACUCGAAUGAACGAACGGAGAGAUUCAUCGUCAUUCCGCGGCGUGCGUGUGCGCCGCACGAUGUACGCGCCUCCAUGUAAUGUGGUGUUGUGCGUGCACGUCGCGUACACGUUUCGCGUCCGCGGACGGCGUGCACUUCUCUCUCAGUAACUAUAUGCAUCGCGACCCGUUCGAUGUCGGUCUAAGCGCCGCACUGGAGCCCCGUCGUCACCCUCGCGGGUCGGCGAUUGGACAGUUUUGCGGACGCCGACCGGCCGUCGGACGGUAUAAUUGUAUGAAGCGCGCACGCGUUUAACGCGUCCGGCCCGACGCAAGUCAACGUCGUAUCCGAUGUCUACGCCCGAGUGCGGACGUUGGUGCGGCGCGUCUGUUGUCGCCGCCGUGCAGUAUCGGACCGUGCGCGUCUCCGUCUGCGAUGAUUCAGUUUCGGGCACUCGCAGGACCCGUCUUGAAACACGGACCAAGGAGUCUAGCAUGUAUGCGAGUCAUUGAGUUAUUUUUAAUAUAUUAAACUGAAAGGCGUAACGAAAGUGAAGGCGUGCGCUUGUCGCGCGCUCAGGGAGGAUGGAGCCGCGGUCUAGAUCGCGCUCUCGCACUCCCGAGGCGUCUCGUUUCCAAUUUGUGAAUGCAGGCGCGCUC
rnacentral:rRNA from 1 species